UACGAAGGGUGCAAGCGUUACUCGGAAUUACUGGGCGUAAAGGGUGCGUAGGUGGUCGUUUAAGUCCGUUGUGAAAUCCCUGGGCUCAACCUGGGAAUGGCAGUGGAUACUGGACGGCUAGAAUGCGGUAGAGGGUAGUGGAAUUCCCGGUGUAGCAGUGAAAUGCGUAGAGAUCGGGAGGAACACCAGUGGCGAAGGCGGCUACCUGGACCAGCAUUGACGCUCAAGCACGAAAGCGUGGGGAGCAAACAGG
rnacentral:rRNA from 1 species